rnacentral:misc_RNA from 1 species
AAAAAAUAGAGCAUAAAACUUCUAGUCUGCAAUGUAAGAACAUUCUGUAUCAUAACAUCAAGUCUUCUUUGUGUCAGAUAAGCAACUUUAGAAAUAAUAAUAAAAAUAAAAAUCAGGUCACAAUUAACCCUCUAUAUGAUUCACCUCCAAACUUAUCUAUCAGCCAUUAAGAUAGAUAACUACAGACCAGUCACACUCAAUUAGGACCCCAUGCCGGUUUUCAUGUUCAUUUCUGGGUGCUAAACAUUAUUAUUA